rnacentral:lncRNA from 10 species
AAGGAGAAUGAAGGAAAAAGGGAGGGAGAAAACCACCCUUAUACAUUUAGGACUCACAGGGCAGGAGUCCCAGACUGGGAGAAAGUCUGGACGUUUCAGCAGAGUUCAGUGUGCUGUGUCACUGUUUGUCUUGGCCUUUUUCGGCUGUGAGCAGCAGCAGCGUAAAUGAAUGUGCUUCAUUUCCUCAGCAACAAGACUGGGUCACACAUGUCCCCUCCCCUGGUGAGCAACCCAAGGAGUGAGUGGGGUGUCAUGGUGUUGCCAGGGACAGGCUGACAGUAGUACCAAAUUAGGAAAAGGACCGACUGAGGAUGCCUGGCCAAUCUGCAUCCCCAAUGCUCAGCCAGCAAAAUCAGUGGAAGUGUGUGUAAUUCUGCGGAGACUAGGAUGGCAUGUGCUCCGCCAGCAAUGCAGGAAAAAGGAUAAUCAAGCGGGACAUGGUUCUUGAAUAAGUGUAAAGCUAAACAUCAUCAAAAUGCUGCAACACAAUACGAGGGGCUGGAAGUGGUUAGUAUUGUGAUUACAGAGAGGGCAUCAGUAUAGGAUGUCAUUUCUCACAAAGAUCCAGGAAAAUGUCUAGCAUUCAUUUUUAUAAACAAAGCAUAGCACACUGGAGUUAUUUCUUAUUUCAAACGUAUAGUCAUACUACCUUUAUUUAGAACAUGGGCGAGGGGAUUGGAAUGGUAUAUAAAUCCAGGACAAGACUUGGUAUGUAAGUUCCUCCUCAAAAAAGCAAAACGCAAGGCCUAUUCUAAACAAAUCCAGGGCAAUUCAGCUCUGAAGCAUUGUUAAUCUUUUCAUUAAAGGUACAGUCACUAUGUUCCAAAUCCUUCUUCCAAAGAUCAGAUCCAGAUUUUCCAGCUAAUGAAACAAUGAAGUCAUUCCUUAAUGCCAAAAAACCCUUGAGAAUUUCCUGUGCCAUUGGGCACAUUCUGUGAGUAGAAGGAAUGUGGAAUUAGAGGGGGAAAUUGACUUCACUGAUGACCUCCAGAAGACCUUUCUAUAUAGACAUUCUGCCACCAAAACUGAUCUUGCACUUGGCAAAAAUGAUGCCUCCUCAUCAAACUGCAGUGGGAAAGAGAUGGGUUUCUGUUGUUAUUGUACAAAUCAGCGUCCUGACAGAAAACAGAUGGCAGACUCCAUGUAGGUAACAUGAAGGGACUGUUUACAAAGGUGUUUGCAGGUUGGAAGGAAACCAUGAGAGGUAGUGCCGCAUCCCAAGGCUACUAACAAAGGUGAGCUCCUCUAACCUGGAAAGGUGAGGAGGACCAGGUAUUGGAACUGAAGGGACAUAACUGUGAAGAGGCUCACCUGACUUGAGAUGCAAACUUCAGUGAGCCUGGAAGUGAGUCCAAGAAGGAAGUGGUGAGAAUGAACACACUGACCUCACUCUCCUUCCUCCUCAUAUCCUGCUGGUGCUCGUCAGCGGCCAAACACGAUCACAAGUUCCCACAAUAGGCUGUCUGCAAGCUGAGGAGCAAGGAAGCCAGUCUGAAUCCUAAAACUGAAGAACUUGGAGUCCAAUGUUUGAGGGCAGGAAACAUCCAGCAUGGGAGAAAGAUGUAGGCUGGGAGGCUACGCUCUUCUCUCUCUCUGUCC